rnacentral:rRNA from 1 species
AUUGAACGCUGGCGGCAUGCCUUACACAUGCAAGUCGAACGGUAACAGGUCUUCGGACGCUGACGAGUGGCGAACGGGUGAGUAAUACAUCGGAACGUGCCCAGUCGUGGGGGAUAACUACUCGAAAGAGUAGCUAAUACCGCAUACGAUCUGAGGAUGAAAGCGGGGGACCUUCGGGCCUCGCGCGAUUGGAGCGGCCGAUGGCAGAUUAGGUAGUUGGUGGGAUAAAAGCUUACCAAGCCGACGAUCUGUAGCUGGUCUGAGAGGACGACCAGCCACACUGGGACUGAGACACGGCCCAGACUCCUACGGGAGGCAGCAGUGGGGAAUUUUGGACAAUGGGCGAAAGCCUGAUCCAGCAAUGCCGCGUGCAGGAUGAAGGCCUUCGGGUUGUAAACUGCUUUUGUACGGAACGAAAAAGCUCCUUCUAAUACAGGGGGCCCAUGACGGUACCGUAAGAAUAAGCACCGGCUAACUACGUGCCAGCAGCCGCGGUAA